CCUACGGGAGGCAGCAGUGGGGAAUUUUGGGCAAUGGGGGAAACCCUGACCCAGCGACGCCGCGUGGAGGAUGACGGCCUUCGGGUUGUAAACUCCUGUCAGGUGGGAAGAAAAGCUUGUCGGUUAAUACCCGGCAGGAAUUGACGGUACCACCAAAGGAAGCCCCGGCUAACUCCGUGCCAGCAGCCGCGGUAAU
rnacentral:rRNA from 1 species